UAAGAUGCGCGGGACAUAGCUGACCCCACAGGGUUGGAGGAAAGUCCGGACUGCAUGGGACGGCAUACCGGCUAAUGACCGGGCGGGGCAACCCGACGAUUAGAGGAACAGUGACGAAUCGAUUUAGUUCGAGUGAAACGGCCAAUCUCUAUGCGCAGCAACUUCAAAUAGGCCCCCUGUGACCAGUCCCAGGAUUGGGGGCGGGUAGAAGGCUUGACAUUCGUGGUAACACGAAAUGCAGAUUAAUUAUGUUCGCUACCCGGGCGUGGUUGUGAAAAGACUGGGCCCGCGGCAGUACAGAAUCCGGCUUAUAGUGCAUCUGCACGC
rnacentral:RNase_P_RNA from 1 species